GCCUAUGAUGAUUUGUCUGCAAAAUGGAUGGGUUGUGGAACCAAGUCCCUGUUUGCAGGGAGAACCUACUUGGGGAAGCAAUUUUGUAAUGACAUCAAUAGAUAUAUCUGAGGC